rnacentral:lncRNA from 1 species
CUGUGCUAGGGAUAACUGUCUUUAGCAUCCUCAGAGAUGGAAUGAAUACAUGUGUGUCAGAAAGAUCAAACUAACCCUACUAAAUCAUGAAGAAUAAAUACGAGAGGAAAAGUACAUUGUGAGUUCGAGCAAUUUAUGGCAUGAGGCUAAGGAUUUUGCCUUUUUGUCUCUAAAGGUAAAACAUAUGUAUUGCUUUAAAAAUAACAGUUAAAAAGAAACAGAGUAAGCAUAGUUCUUUAGCAUGAAGUUCUCAGAAAAUAAAGUACCAGGCAGGCAUUUGAUUGAACUCCAGAAUGAAUGAAGACUUGCUUCUUGAUUUAUCUUGUGAUCGCUUAGUUUCUCAACUAAGUGUCAACUUGUGUUUUGUUACAUAUCACAGAAUGUAAAAAAGCUGUGUACCACCAGUGACCCAUGAUGAAGGCAAGUUUCUCUUGAAAUUUACACCUCACUGCUUGGGUGAGAAGAUGACACGAGAGAGAUGCUGGUACAAAGCUGCUGAAAGCAAAGCAAAGGGCCACUUGGGAGUUGCUUUCAUGGGGCACAAAGGUUAUCACAUUUGAUCCAUACAUCAUGUGGAGUUUAAAUAAGGAUUGCUUGAGUGAUGCACUUCACCUUCCUCAAACGAUGGGGGACGGAGUGGAAAUCAGAAGAUUUUGGCAUUCACCAUUUUACUCCACCGUGUAAAGCCUGUAUGUCACAGUUACCUCUGCUUCUCAUCCUGCUCAAAAAGCUCUGUGAACCUAAAGCAUCAGGAAGGGGAAGGAGCUGAUGGAAUUGCUGUCAGAAUCCUGGAAGAGGACAGGCAAGCAGCUGGAAUGGAACGACAGUGGCAUCAAAGGUGAGCAAAACAACACUGAACGUUUAUACUUUUGACCUUGUAUACUCAGGAUGGGGUUGGUGACUGCUUCCCAUUCUCGGGUGACAAUAUCAGCUGCAGUGCCUCUGCUAGGAAGUAACUUGUAUGAUUGAUUGAGGUGGUAAGA